rnacentral:tRNA from 1 species
UCCCUGGUGGCUCAGACGGUAAAGCGUCUGCCUGCAAUGCGGGAGACCCAGGUUUGAUUCCUGGGUUGGGAA